GGAAUCUUGCGCAAUGGGGGAAACCCUGACGCAGCAACGCCGUGUGAGUGAUGAAGGCUUUCGGGUCGUAAAGCUCUGUUUGAAGGGACGAAACGUAUUUGACUAAUACUCAAAUAACUUGACGGUACCUUCGGAGGAAGCACCGGCUAACUCCGUGCCAGCAGCCGCGGUAAUACGGAGGGUGCAAGCGUUGUUCGGAAUCACUGGGCGUAAAGGGCGUGUAGGUGGCUAAUUAAGUCAGGUGUGAAAUCCUUCCGCUUAACGGAAGAAGUGCACUUGAAACUGCUUAGCUAGAGUACGAGAGAGGAAGGUGGAAUUCCUGGUGUAGAGGUGAAAUUCAUAGAUAUCGGGAAGAACACCGGUGGCGAAGGCGGCCUUCUGGCUCGAUACUGACGCUGAGACGCGAAAGCGUGGGGAGCAAACAGGAUUAGA
rnacentral:rRNA from 1 species